CUGUGACACCCGGGCACUGGCGAGGGCGGGGAGUGACUGCCGAUGCGAGAGGCACGGAGUGCGGCUCCUGGCAGGCUUCGAAGUGGAAGGGACACAUGGAUGAAUCGAACAUACACCGGAAUGAGAGGGAUCCAGAGACUGUAUAGGUAUGGGACUAUACAGUUGAAGGAUAGCUUAAAGGAAUUGAUUUGGCAACUCAUAUCACCAAAUGCAUUUGCUUUUCGGUAGCCUAACCCAUAAGAACUCCAUAGUUAAGCGUGCUUAACUUGGAGAAAUUCUGGGAUGGGUGACCUUCUGGGAAGUUUUCCCGGAAAGUGUGUGAGUGAGGACAAAGCACACUGGAAAGCGUCGUGGUGAUCUGUGGGAUGGCAGUCAGCAUUCCUGCGAGUUGCCGGGACGUUACAGUACCUGAACAGUCCAUGCUCGCGAUACAUGACAAGUCAAAAGUUUAUGUUCUAAGACCCCAGGACAUAGAAGGAACGAACAACCACAUUCAAUGGAAAUCAAUAAGGCAAAAUAAUAGGCAUUAUAAUGAUAGGUAUAAACAUUGCCCC
rnacentral:lncRNA from 1 species